AGAGUUUGAUCCUGGCUCAGAACGAACGCUGGCGGCGUGGAUUAGGCAUGCAAGUCGCACGAUCUUCGGAUAGUGGCAAAAGGGUGAGUAACACGCGGGUAAUUUACCAUAAAGACUGGGAUAACCUGCUGAAAAGCGGGCUAAUACCGGAUAAGACCACACUACCGCAUGGUAGAGUGGUAAAAGGCGGGGACCCUUCGGGGCCUGCCACUUAUUGAUGAGCCCCUAUCAGCUUGUUGGUAGGGUAACGGCCUACCAAGGCUUUUGACGGGUAGCUGGUCUGAGAGGAUGGUCAGCCACACUGGGACUGAGACACUGCCCAGACUCCUACGGGAGGCUGCAGUCGAGAAUCUUUUGCAAUGGGGGAAACCCUGACAAUGCGACGCCGCGUGAGGGAUGAAGGUCUUCGGAUUGUAAACCUCUGUCACUAGGGAUGAAUACCAAUGAUCGAACAGGUCAAAGGAAUGACAGUACCUAGAGAGGAAGCCACGGCUAACUCCGUGCCAGCAGCCGCGGUAAUACGGAGGUGGCAAGCGUUGUUCGGAUUGACUGGGUGUAAAGGGUAUGUAGGCGUUCUUAUAAGUCAAGCGUGAAAUCCCUUGGCUCAACCAAGGAAUUGCACUUGAAACUGCAAGAAUUGAGUGAAGGAGAGGAGAAUGGAAUUCCAGGUGUAAGGGUGAAAUCUGUAGAUAUCUGGAAGAACACCAGUGGCGAAAGCGAUUCUCUGGCCUUUAACUGACGCUGAAAUACGAAAGCUAGGGGAGCAAACAGGAUUAGAUACCCUGGUAGUCCUAGCCGUAAACGAUGGGCACUAGGUGUAGGUCCGUCAAGGAUCUGUGCCGCAGUUAACACAUUAAGUGCCCCACCUGGGGACUACGGCCGCAAGGCUGAAACUCAAAGGAAUUGACGGGGACCCGCACAAGCGGUGGAGCAUGUGGUUUAAUACGACGCUACGCGUGGAACCUUACCAGGGCUUGACAUGUACCUGAAAUCCUUCUGAAAGGUUGGACCUCCCUCAAGGACAGGUACACAGGUGUUGCAUGGCUGUCGUCAGCUCGUGUCGUGAGAUGUUGGGUUAAGUCCCGCAACGAGCGCAACCAUCGCCCUAUGUUGCUAAUCCCGCAAGGGAUGCACUCUUAGGGGACUGCCAGUGAUAAACUGGAGGAAGGUGGAGAUGACGUCAAGUCAGUACGGCCCUUACGCCCUGGGCGACACACGUGCUACAAUCCUCGCUACAAUGGGCUGCGAAGCCGUAAGGUGAAGCCAAUCCCAAAAAAGCGAGGUCAGUUCGGAUUGAGGGCUGCAAUUCGCCCUCAUGAAGUUGGAAUCGCUAGUAACCGCAGAUCAGCCAUGCUGCGGUGAAUACGUUCCCGGGUCUUGUACACACCGCCCGUCAAGCCACCUGAGUUGAAUGCACCCGAAGUCGCUGACCCAACCUGCAAAGGGGGGAGGCGCCGAAGGUGUGUUUGAUAAGGAGGGCUAAGUCGAAACAAGGUA
rnacentral:rRNA from 1 species